rnacentral:piRNA from 1 species
UGCAGGGAAGCAGCCUCUGAAAUCGUGC